UAUUUUUGGUUACCUAGGUCCAGGCCCUCUGUUUUACAACAGCUAUGAUCUCGUUGUUUGAAAGACUAAUUCUACAGACGACCAGCAAAUCACUCUGUAUAUCACCUGAAAUGAGCUGAUUUCUGGUUACCACAAAUCAUGUUUUAUUGCAAAGCAUAAACUCCAUGGAAGCAACUGGGUCUGCCAAGUGACAAUAAUACUGUCGUAUUGGCCUGGAGAGAAAAAGGCAAAACCCAUUUGAGGACAACAUCUUUGAACAUUUCUAAAGGCAUUAAUGGCUUUGACUACCACCCAGAAGUCAAUGUGAUUGGUAAUCAGCUUGGAGACAGGAUCGACAAUUACAUUCUGGAUGAUUGACCCAGGUCAGAAAAUCAAGCAGUUUUCAGGGUGCCACGGCACUUCGGAGAUUAGCACAAUGGCACAUGGUGAGUGAGACAAG